rnacentral:rRNA from 1 species
UUUCUUUGGAGAGUUUGAUCCUGGCUCAGGACGAACGCUGGCGGCGUGCCUAAUACAUGCAAGUCGAGCGGACCGGA